rnacentral:rRNA from 1 species
UAGGGAAUCUUCCACAAUGGGCGCAAGCCUGAUGGAGCAACACCGCGUGAGUGAAGAAGGGUCUCGGCUCGUAAAGCUCUGUUGUUAAAGAAGAACACGUAUGAGAGUAACUGUUCAUACGUUGACGGUAUUUAACCAGAAAGUCACGGCUAACUACGUGUCAG